ACAUUGAACCAAAAACUACCCUGAACACACCUGAUCAUGUCUGAUUUCAGCAGCUCAGUGGAGUCAAGGCUGGGUGGUUCUAGGAUCGGAGGUCACCAGACAGUACCAGAGAAUUCUAGGUA
rnacentral:rRNA from 1 species